GAUGAACGCUAGCGACAGGCCUAACACAUGCAAGUCGAGGGGCAGCGGGAUUGAAGCUUGCUUUAAUUGCCGGCGACCGGCGCACGGGUGAGUAACGCGUAUCCAACCUGCCCAUGGGUCAGGGAUAAACUCCCGAAAGGGAGCCUAAUACCUGAUGUUGUGAGAAGAAGGCCUCUGAUUUUCACGAAAGACUUCGGUCGCCGAUGGAUGGGGAUGCGUACGAUUAGGCAGCAGGCGGGGUAACGGCCCACCUGGCCAACGAUCGUUAGGGGUUCUGAGAGGAAGGUCCCCCACACUGGUACUGAGACACGGACCAGACUCC
rnacentral:rRNA from 1 species